rnacentral:rRNA from 1 species
AGUGAACGCUGGCGGUAGGCCUAACACAUGCAAGUCGAACGGCAGCACAGUAAGAGCUUGCUCUUACGGGUGGCGAGUGGCGGACGGGUGAGGAAUACAUCGGAAUCUACUUUUUCGUGGGGGAUAACGUAGGGAAACUUACGCUAAUACCGCAUACGACCUACGGGUGAAAGCAGGGGAUCUUCGGACCUUGCGCGAUUGAAUGAGCCGAUGUCGGAUUAGCUAGUUGGCGGGGUAAAGGCCCACCAAGGUGACGAUCCGUAGCUGGUCUGAGAGGAUGAUCAGCCACACUGGAACUGAGACACGGUCCAGACUCCUGCGGGAGGCAGCAGUGGGGAAUAUUGGACAAUGGGCGCAAGCCUGAUCCAGCCAUACCGCGUGGGUGAAGAAGGCCUUCGGGUUGUAAAGCCCUUUUGUUGGGAAAGAAAAGCAGCAGGUUAAUACCCCGCUGUUCUGACGGUACCCAAAGAAUAAGCACCGGCUAACUUCGUG